GUUUGGAGUGGAAUUGUUUGGAAGACAAUCUUGGGACAAUUUUGCUCUUUGGGUCUUUGUGCCAACCAUACCAGCUAUCGUAGGGUGCUCUGGGAACUUCUUAGAUCUGUUUACUGUACAGAAAUACGCAUUUUGUUUACAUAAAAUCCCUUGUCAUUUCACCACUAGGUUUGAAACCCAGACAGCACGAAGCAUCUUGCCGACGCCAAAAUCAGAUCAACAGACAGGGACAUCAGCCUUCUCUUGGGAAUAGGCCAGAUAUGCCAGAACAAGAAAUGUCUAUAUCUUGGACUGAAAAAGGAUGCUUUGCCCCUGCGGUUGUGAAGAGGAUGCUGUGGAGGUGGCAGCAUGAACGUGUCACACAGACAUUGGCUAAACUACUCGGCUUCUACACUUGCCCUCAGAGUUCACAUAUGGUGAAGUGCACAGGUGUCCAGUCAGGUUCAGACUGAUGCUGGUAACAAGAGGAAAACAUGCUAAUUGGUCAGUCCAUGAGCCCACGUCUUCAGGUCAUGGGCCUGAGAAGAAUCUACCGUUACAGGGGUCAGAAGAGAUCCUCAAACUAUGCUGACAUUACUACCCCUGUACUUCAACCCAUCUGCUGCCACUGGGUCCUCAACGAGAAAAUAAACUGAUCCCCCCCCAAUCCAUUCCUUUUUCCACCGUCACAUCACACCAUGCCUAUGCACAUUAACACCACCAAUGAGCCUAGAAAACUAGGACAACAGUGAGGAUGAAUUUAGAAACCGCUUCCACGUAUUGUACUAUUUCUGAAAAAGCAUUGGUAUUGGCCUUCUAUCUCCACGUAGCCAUAUCAAAAAACCUGCCUAAAAAAAAAUCAAUUUUGUCGUGUUUCCGCUUAAAAAGGAAUUUAGAAACCGCUUCCACGUAUUGUACUAUUUCUGAAAAAGCAUUGGUAUUGGCCUUCUAUCUCCAUGUAGCCAUAUCAAAAAACCUGCCUCAAAAAAAAAACAAUUUUGUCGUGUUUCCGCUUAAAAAGGAGAACAAAAUAUCCACAUGUAAAAUUAUCCUGCUACGUGGAAAUGGCACCUUACUAAAUAAAUAACAACUGCAUAGUUAUUCUGUUCAAUUUAUGAGUAACUAUGUAAAUUAUGAUUAACUUUUUGGCUGAUAUGGGACACUGCAUGAAAAGAGGAAUUUGUGGAUGAGUUUUGCACCUUAAAUUGCCUCAUACCUCAAGCCACAGCAUUUGCGGCUCCCCCAUGC